GCUUUCUUCGAGUGAACUUGGGGUUGUCCGUGCGGGGCUCGGCACAAGAUCGCGUAACGAUUUGGCGAGGCGUGCGCGAGUGACGCGCGGCGCUUUCGGCCGCUCCCUCUCUUUGUUCUGCGCGCGGGUGUCGAGACACGGAGACAGCACAGGUGUGCCCGAAGAAUCGUCACGGAGUUUGGAAAACGCUCAGGUGCUGGGAGUCGCUUUGGUGACGACACUGAAAUGAACGUCAUCUUACCACGAUCGCGAUCAUCGCCAAAAUUACCCAAAGUCACGGAUCAUCAUCAUCCUACACCACCACUCGUCACCACAAUGAUCUUCAAACAACAUCAAUCAUCAAUCAACGAUCUCAAUGUGAAGAAAAGCAAACUCCGUGACACAAUUGGAGUUGCCCUCGUAUGAUUGUGCAUCUGCGUGGUUGUUCAGGAGGUUUAAAGCGCGUGAAUGGCUAUCCGAAGGUUUCUGAGUUCGGAUCGUGGUCAGGGGUAAACUCGGCCCCAUCAUCCUUGCAUUAUUAUCCAUAAUAGAGGUUUUUUUGGGUUUCGAUCACUUCAAUAUAAAUGUGUCCUUAACCCGCCACCACCCAACACAGCUAGUAAGCAAGGUCUAUCACGAAACCAGUGUGUUGGAGAGUAAAGCCACAACAUUAACAAUUUGAGUACAAAUUAUAACCCAAAAAACCUUUAUUACGGAUAAAUGAGUGCUUUGUUGUAGCAGGUGGUUGCCAUGUGAAGAGACUGACUCCCUGCAAUGGGAAUGUGGAAUUGACACCACUGGCUGUUGGCCUGCUCACCCGGGUGGGUGUCGCCCCACUGCCGCUGCGAGCUGAGAGACACAUCUUGUCCUGGAGAGGUGAAGUCCUAACAGACGCACUCACCGACUCGGGGGGAGUUUUUCCCCAAUAACCAGCAGCAAAGACGCUGCCAGAAGCACACGUGACAUCGUGCCCAAGUCGUAGUUUGUCAGGGGGAGCCAGGACACCCUCGUGGAGUUGAACACGUCUUGUUGUUGUUGUUUCUACUUUUUACAAAUGCUUCCAUUCGUUUUUUUGUGCAUUAAACAUGUAACAUCUGCAGUUUUUGGUCCGCGCCGCGUGCCGUUCAUAAUUUAUGCCCCAAAGUUUCGCUCCACACUCCGGCAGCUUCUUCGGGAGCCGAAUAAGAAGCUCCCAGCGCAUGGCGCGAAACGUUGGACGUCGUGCCGAAACAGCACAAUAGCGGCACAACCCCAAAAGCCUAUCGGAGACCCACGCAGCGCAACCCCUGCGAUUACCACCGCAGGGGUACAUACCACCAGCGCUCAGAAUGACAUUGAAAAUUCACUUCCUUAGAAGUUAUUUUUGUGUUUAGUUUGUUGUCCUUCCCCCGCACCUCCGGUUAGCACGGUUGGCUACGUACGGCGCGAAGGAAGUUCAACAUACAUACUGCACGACAUGGGCUCGGUCGGUAGCCACGUGCAGGGCGUAACACACGUGCGCGCGCGCGCGGGUAUAAAACACUGCGACAGUGUUGGUGUGCGGAAGAAGUCAACGUGACCGACUUGGGCGCGUAGAACAGAGUGCCCUUUUAGCCCCGAGAUUAAAUUCUCGCCGGCGUUAUGGAACAAGGGCGGCAACGUUGGCUGGGUCGGGGCGAGGUCAGGUGGAAUAUCCUGAAGGCGUGCGGCGUCAGCGGCGGCGGCGUAGCAGGUGGCCGGGGCGUUCCGCGGAGUGGUGCGGACGCCGCGGAGCGAGCAUAAGCGAGGACCCAAAAAAAAAACUUCUUGGGGAAAAAGGUGGAAUAAGCCACAGGUUUGUCUCUACGCUCAGCCGGGCGUCCGAACGGAGGGCCCGCCGAGUGCGCAGGGUUCGGAGGAGAUGCGUCGAACGUUUAAAGUCGCUGAGGCCAAUGUAUUUGAUUGCCUCUUGCCCGAGAGAGCCGCGUGCCGUGUCAGUGGGGCCCGCAGCCACUCGCGCUGCUGGUGGUGAGACGCUUUGGCGUUAUUCGUGGUGAAUCGUGAUGUUUGACGGGCUGCAAUGCAACUGAACAUCUAACCGUUCGAUGAAUUGCCACGAAUUUGAUUCAUUCUAUCAUGAGACCUCCUUUGCCAGUAUUCAAUUAUGAUGGUAGGGUUUUCCCAUUUCUGGCAAUAAAACAGGUGUGUUAAGAUGUUGAAACACCAAACUGAAACCUUUGCAGGGAAUCAUGAAUCAUGUCUGCAUUAACCACAUAUACUUGUGGUGAAUAUGCAAUUUUUUUAAAUUCAUAAUUCUCGAGAACUGAUUAUGUUUUUGCCACUGUGAUGCAUUUAGCGCCUCCUGUGGCUGCGGUGUUCAGGUGAAUGAAAUACUUUCACCCAAUACACAUCGACAAUAAUCAAUUAUUUCAUUAUGAUUCGAUACAUUCAUUGUGGGCAUGGCAUGUUGCAAAUUUGUUUCAAUUUGCGCAUUCAGCAUCGUGUCGUGGCAUUCAGCAUCGUGUCGUGGGAUGAAGAAGCUUUUCAUAAAUAUUCCAGGGCCGUGUGACGCUGCGUUCGAGACGUUCCAUCGGACUACUCCCAGAAAAAAAAUCGAUCAGGUGGCCAAAUCAUCUUUUAUCCAGUAGGGGUCACACCAUCUCGUACACUCCACCAUGAGAUUUUUAACUACCUUACAUUUUAAAAAAUGUCAGUGCCGGUGACCGCGCUGACCCGGUGACCUCACUGUACCCUUGAGAACCCAGUUUAAUAACGGGCGAUGGAAACCCCAGAUUCAAAACCAGGAACUCAGUGGUGCCGGAUCGGCACUCUGACCUCCAAGCCACCUGUCCACCUCAGCUGCGAGGUCUCUUUGCGAGCCGUGUGCUCGGCAGCUCGGCUUCAACGCGCGUCCCUUCCCGCGGCUCACAGCUGCGUACAGCUUCUCCGCAGCGGCGAUUGAGAGGUCAUCUAAGAAAGCAAAACAAAAGCCAACGUCUUACUGCGCGAGGGCUUAGCGUAGCCAGAAGCCUCCCGUUCAAACGCCCGGAGCAAUUCCUCUGCCCCUUUUCUGGGCUUCUAAGCACACCGCGCGGGAGAAUGUGUCACCGCGGGUAUUAAAAGCGAGGACACGUGAGCGCGCCGUACGGAAAGUGCGCUUUGUGAACGGCUGUCUUGGAGACCCAGUCAUGCUUGGCCUUCAUGCCUUUAUGCUCGCGUGUGGCCUUGUCAGCCACAGAGACUUCGGGAAUUCUUCCGCUUUUGUGAAGUCUGUGUUUGUUAUCAAGUGCCGUGCGGGGUGGGGGAGGACUCGAUGCUGGAUUAUGGAUGAUGGCCUUGCGUUUCACUCUGUAAAGCGGCUCAUACCUGCUCAGCCCUGCUCUUAGUGUGUCCACCUGUCGGACAAAAUAAAAUUUCGUUCUCUCCAAAAAGGACGCAACAUUU